AGCAGCCGCGGUAAUUCCAGCUCCAAUAGCGUAUAUUAAAGUUGUUGCAGUUAAAAAGCUCGUAGUUGAACUUCGGGGUUUACCCAUUGGUCAGGCUUAAUUGUCUGUACUGGUGAGAUAAAUCUCUACCUUCUGAGGAACUUUCAUGUCAUUAAUUUGGUGUGAUUGGAAAUCAGGACUGUUACUUUGAAAAAAUUAGAGUGUUUAAAGCAGGCUAACGUCUGAAUACAUUAGCAUGGAAUAAUGAAAUAGGACGGACUGAUUCUAUUUCGUUGGUUUCUAGGAUCACCGUAAUGAUUAAUAGGGAUAGUUGGGGGCAUUAGUAUUCAAUUGUCAGAGGUGAAAUUCUUGGAUUUAUUGAAGACUAACUACUGCGAAAGCAUUUGCCAAGGAUGUUUUCAUUAAUCAAGAACGAAAGUUAGGGGAUCGAAGACGAUCAGAUACCGUCGUAGUCUUAACCAUAAACUAUGCCGACUAGGGAUCGGACGAAGUUAAUUUAUAAUGACGCAUUCGGCACCUU
rnacentral:rRNA from 1 species